GGGCCUGUAGCGCAGUUGGGAGCGCACUACAUUCGCAUUGUAGGGGUCGAGAGUUCGAAUCUCUUCAGGUCCACCA
rnacentral:tRNA from 1 species